AGGAUAAUAGUUAAAUUUAACAGUUAAUUUGCAUUUAAAAAAUAUUGAUAUUUAUCAAUUUAUCUUU
rnacentral:tRNA from 1 species